CUAUGACUACAGAAAUAGGGAGAAUCUGCUAUUGUCUGAAAUUUGACUUAUACCCUUUGUAAGUAGAUACUACUGAAUGAAUUGACCAUGCAAAUACUCGAUAUUUUAUUAGAAGAAUCUUCGAAGGAAUUACUAUCAGUAAGAACUGGAAAAUAACAGAAAAUUUGAUGUCCUCAAAACAAGUGGUCAUGGAUCAGGAAAUUCUGAGUACUUGAUGCAUUUUCAACUACAUACAGUUGGCACUUGCAAAAGUGAAAUAUUUUUAUUCAAUUCAUUAAAUAUGAUUGUCUGUAAAAUUUAAUUACCCAGUGUUAUUUUGUUCGUCUGAAACAUCUGGAAAUUUCAUUUCUAUUAUCAGGGAAGAUCCUAAAUGAAAUUUUAGUAGAUGCUUUGAGUUAUGAGAGAAAUACUGGAAUGGUCACAGUACUUACAGACAUUAAGUACCAUGUACUAUACCUAUGUGCAUGAAAAUAUUGCCCUGUAGUGUCCCAAGACUGUAUAUUUUCUCAUUUUUGCAACUGAGAAAAUGUUAUAAGUAAAACUAGGUGUACAAAAUAUUGCUUGCCAGAGAAAAGUUCUUGAUCUAGCGUUGGGAAAAUUGAAAUGACAACGAGUGAUGUGUUCAUAAUUCAGACUCUAUUAUAAUUAUUUUAGCUAUCAAUCUUUUCAACCAUGCCCGUAAACAGCUCUGCGUCUUGGUGUCUUCAGUAUUUUAUAAAUUUCUCAUAAUGGAUGCCACAGCUCUCAUUUUUCCAACUGGUGCUCCCAUUCAUAAACCCUUUUUUCCCCUAAAUUCUCAUAGCUAUGACUGUUUCGUCCUCCAAGCAAUUUGCUAAAAUCAUACAAGUCUCUCCACUUAAGUUCUACAAAUAAGAUGCCAAUUUUACCCUACUUCUCCGAGAAACUCCACACUACAAAGCUAUUGUGAGGUGGCCCUUCCAAUUUUCUCAUAAGCUGCUGCCUUGAUCAUGACUGAUUAUUUUCCUCUCUUUUUCCAGGCUAUGGUGCUGGUUACGAUUACUAUGGCGCAGCCUAUGGCGGUGGCUAUGGAACCGGCUAUGACUCAUAUGGAUAUGGUGGCUACGGCGGCUAUGGUGGGGGUUAUGGCGGUGGCAAGACAAGGGGAGGAGGGCGUGGUUCUAGACACGCUCCUUAUUAAAUCAAUCUCACUUUAAAUUCAUCUUCUUAAUAUGUGUAUCCUCAUUUUAAUUUUCUCUUUGAUGAGGCCGCCAUCCCUACAAAUCCUAGCACGGGUCAACCCCGAUGAAAGAUUGAUCAGUCCAUUGCCUCAUCAAUCGCUCAUUCCAUGUAAAAUUGAAAAGUAGGAAAGUAAAAUACAUCGGAGCCGUGACCUAGGAGGUCUGGAAUGGUCUCUACGCCUAAUGAAGGAGUGAACCUCUAUCUCAAACAAAUCAAUGUACAGUUAAACUAUUAUUGAUAAAGAUGUAAAAAGAAUUUUUUAAGUUUUGAAUCAAGUCAUAACCCUCAACAUGAUUCUGUGUGAAGUGUUUUAAUGUGGACAGAUGUGUACAAUUCUCCCCUCCAUAUUUUGCUUUACAAACUUUUUAUCUCAUAAGUUAAUAUUUAAUAGGUUUUAUUUAUUAACUUAUUUUUUUUUCUAUUUUUUAUCUUGUAUGUAUCGUGUUGUAUUGGUUAUGUCAGUUGAUGAAAGCAAUCAACACCAGAAUAAACAAUUAAUUAGUGUAAUUUAGUUUCUUUUCAUUUCAAUUUUUCAUUCUUACACCAAAAAUUCCAUACGCAAGCCUUAGGCUUUUUUUAAUACAAAAACUUAUUUAAUUUCAUUCCUUGAAGUCCUUGAGGUUGUGGAGCGCGAGCUCCGCUUCCUCAAGAAGCAUCAACUGAAAUGAACCAUCUGAAUUUUUGCAUCUCGUGUCGUUGCCCAAACUUAUUUUCCCCCAGUAUGCCCUGUACACAGAGAGCUCAAGGAAUGUUGUUACCACUUCUCCGAAUUUGAAAACAAUGAAAAAUCCAAAGCAACUCCUGUUUCUCAAAGAAAGAGAGGUAGCCCUCCCACUAUAUUUGUUACACUUUAUUGGGUGUUGUAACAAUUCUAAACGAAAAACUGUAGCAAGCUUCAUUAUAAUUAGAAGAAUAUGGUUCUGUGUUCGCUAUUUCUUGCGGCUUCAGUUCUUCCAAUUGUUCCUCAAAUCCUGAAGGUUGUAGACAUUCUCUUGAUCUCUCUGUACAUCUCAAACCCCCGUUAGAAGAUUCAAAUUUAAUAGCACAUUCUCUUGAUCUCUCUGUAUAUCUCAAACCCCCCGUUAGACGAUUUAAAUUGAAUAGCCUGCUUCAAAAAAUUCUCAACUCCUAAAGAAAACUAAAAUCCUGGUGGGGAGACAAAACUGAACUGAGCUAAGAAAUUUUCGGGAAAAUUUUUUGGUGCCUCCAGUCCAGUUUCCUGAAAGAGCCACAAAUAUGAAACCCUCACUAUCAGGUCCUUCAAUUAUACCACAUGAUAAUUUUUUAACCUUGGAAAUUAGGAGAAAUAAGGAGAGAAACUGAAGAAAUGAAUGUAACAUAAAAAGUCAUUUUUUUUUUUUAAAUGAAAUUGAACUUAUAAUUUCGAAGACAGACUUUCAGUUCAAAUCCACACACUCUAAAGUUCGAGUAAAUAAUCUGAUGGACCUCCAGAGUUGAAUGAGAAUCAUGAAUUAUAUUACCGGAGGGAGAUGAUCAAGAUAGUUGUUAAAUGGCAAUGCAUCCUUGAAAUAUUCAAUGCCCAUGUUGCUAUCAACUCUAUUUUUCUUUCUUCUCACUGAAUGCUGCUAAGCAGUUAAGAAAGUCACAUUGACCCAAAGCAAUUUUCCCAGGUGAAAUCUAUCAAAUUGUAUAAAAUUAUGUCUUAUCAUUCUGUUAAGGGAAAGGAUUUUAUAAACUAAUAAUUAAUGAUGACUGGGUCUCUUGUCUCCCUGUAGUCCCACAUCAGAACACUAAGUUUGUCCCACUAAGCCAAAGGAAUCCAGCCACAAUAUGCAGAUGACUUUGAAAAGCCUUCAAAAUUAAUUGUUGGGCUUGCUUCCUAAACUGCCUAACUCCAUUGCGAUAAGCCAAGUUUUCUUCAUGAACUUCAAUUUUUGUGAUGAAUAUUGAACAAUAUGUAAGAAAGAACCAUUUCAAAGUUACAAAUUUCAUGCUCUAAAGAACAAUGGAGCAAUAAUUAAGUGAAUAUCUGAGGUGGUCUCCUUUUUAUCCAAAACAAUAAUUAUUUAUUUUUAUCCAUGACACUGGGAGAAUUUCUCUUGCCGGCUACAGAUACAUGUCCCGUUUUUAAUUAUUCAUAAACUAUAUCCACUCGCAAAAGAUUAAAAAUGCAAAGGGUGCGUUUAUUCUCAUGGACUGAUUUUCCAAUGCGUGAAAAGGAUUAUGUAACCAAUGAAAACCUUUUUUAACAUCAUUAGGAUCGGCCGGAGUUCAAUAGAAACCCUCUGAGUUAUCAGAGAAUGAGAAAUCUGAAGUUUCAUUUCUCCAUUACAUCCAACAUUAAUCUUAGAAUUUAUUUAAUUUACAGCUAAUCUCAAAUCAUUUCUUUUACAUAAAAUGCAAUCAGUGCGUUUUUGUCAAACGCAGCCCAUAUUUUGCCACUGACGCGGAAUUUGUAUUUUCCCAAUAUGUUUUCAAUUUAAGUUCUUAUAACUAAAAUAUUACCGUUGGAAAAAAAGAAAUUUUAGUAACCAAGUCAUCACACAAGAAGAAUAAACAUUGUCCAUUAUAAAUCCAGGGAUAUUUAAAGUAACAAGUCAGUUUUUGAAUCAGCAGCUGGCAGUGUAACAUAAGGCACCAUUGUAUGAAAAAAAAAAUAAUUACCUUCUUCUAUGGUGCGUUGAGAACCUGACCAGAGAGACGGAAACAAACUCUCAGGUAUGCAAUGAUUUAUGUGGAGGAUACUACGUGCUGUUGAUUUCUACAGUGACAUCCAUCUCUCCGUAUUUCGGAGCAUAGUUGCUUGGAAAAUCUAAUUUUUCUGAUCAAGAUUGACUGAUGUUUUUUCUGUUUUUUUAUGGGAUAAUCGAAGUGAUGGGCCCUCCCUCCCUGUGCCACUUCAUGAAAAAUGCUCUACUCCUAAUUCGUUCAUACCUUCCUCAGUUAAAAAUUCCCAAGUAUUCCAAGAAUAAACUUCGUAGGUAUGAAGAAUAUUUUUCCUGAAGAGAAACCAUUUUGAAGUGGAACUGAACAACUAGUUGGAGUUUCUCAUGAACUGAGGUUUAGAAGAAAUUGCAUCAAGUGAGCAUAGGAAGUCCAGCAAUUGAUGCGCUGGGUACUGAAAGAGGACUUCUUGGUUGUGGUUUUAAGUAUCUCCAUCACUAAAUUGAAUGUUAAGAGGAAACCGAUUCGUCGUUUCUCUGAAAUUUUAUUUGAAAAUUGCAAAUUUAUGCAGAAUACAUAAUAAAAAUGUCGACGAAACAUAAGUGUUUGCUUCUCUUAAAAUGGAUGGAAUGUCGGCAGGGAUUCCAGAAUACCGCAACCAAGAAGUGCUCUUCCGGCAACCUGAGUCUCAAUUGUUAAUUCUUACCAGAGGAAUGGUGUACAUUCCUCUGAGUAAGACAGUGUACUUGCAUAGGCACUGAUGCACAUGCAUUAUCUGCUUCUUCUUCUUUUUCACUUUUUACCAAUUUUUAGGUGUGCUGAUCAUGUUCCUUAAUAUCUCCUCUACCAGUCCUUCCUGAGCUAGUUGUUGAGCAGAACUUGAGAACUGAGUGAGAUUCCUAGACCUGCUCUGGGCUAAGGUAGAGUUGUAAGAAAGAAUCAGAGUUAAGUGUCACAGGUAUAAUUAUCUAAUAUCUUAUUGCCAUAACUUUCAAUUCCUCAUAGUGUCUGACCAAGGCUUACUUGUUUUCAACAUUAAGAGCAGUGUGUUACGUCACUGGAGCUGAUUAUGAUAAACAGUUCAGCGAUAAUAUUUACUUGAGAUGGCAUCUAGAGAAAGGGUUUAUUCAUUAGCUGAGGUGGUAAAUAAAAUAAUCAGUUAUCAACUUGAGAUAACACAUAUUUGCUCCUAGGCACUUUCUGUAACAUGAUUACCCAACAAAUAAGUAAUAUGAUCGUUUGAAACAUGUGGCAAAUACCUUCAUAGUGAUAUCUGGUUGCCUUUCUCGUGCCACGUGCUCUGGUAGGGUUUAUUUAACCCUAAGCUUCUCUUUUUAUACUUUUUUAGGUGGGUUUAAAUUUAAUUACUUAUUGUGUGGUGAAUCUUUACGGGUUUGUGGAUUUUUCUCUCAUGUUUAUGAUCAAUUCAACCAAUAUGUACAUCAGAUGUCUAAUUUUCUCUGAUACGUUCUAUUUUUUAAGUAGAAAACCAAGCAACAAUUAAACUUAAAAUUUUAUGAACACCUGUAUUUUUAACCUUAGAUAGAUUCACAGAAAUUUUAAAGGUGUUAAGUAGUUAAGUUCGCUGUUGAAAAGUAAACAUGGUAGGGAAAGUAGGCAAGGCGAAGUGCAGUCAGGCUGCAAUUCAAGUUGAAUCUGUCUAUGUCAUGCUUAGAGAGACUGUUCACAAAAUCCAAUCCUAUAGAAGUCCUAUCAUCUAACUAAUGUAAUAGACCUCUUACGUACAGCAACUUAAUCAAUUUUUCUUUAGCAACUAAGAUAUUUUUAUCUAUCUUCAACUUUGACCUCAAAAUAUGGUCCUAGAAUGUUUUAUUCAGUCUUAAAUGUAAGUUCAUAGAUUUUGCAUUUAUGUUAAUAAUAUACAUAUUAAAAAUGGACGAUAUUUUCCUCUAGCUUCCUGUGGUGAAGGUGUAACAUUUCGAAGUCCUAG
rnacentral:lncRNA from 1 species